rnacentral:lncRNA from 1 species
UUUUUAUUUUUUAUUUUUUUUUUAAGGAAGGCGAGAGCCUUCAAAGGUAAGAGUGCUUAGAACCCAUGAAAGUCAUAGCAAAGCUCUGCUCAGGGCAUAUUAUGGUGCCUGUUACGGGGCCAUAGAGAAAGGGUCCCUGCCUCUCCUCUCUGCUCACUCCAGGUUCUUAGUAAUUGGGCACCCCAGAGGAUUCCUUGCCACCAGUGCCGCACCAGCAGAGCUGCUGGGAGCUCUGGGCACUAGGCUUCUGUAGUGUGUAUAUAUUUAUUGUGCUAAAACAUUAGCAGCUAUACAUAUUUUUUGAGCAGCUGAAGUGCUGGGCUCCAUACAGAUUCUCAAUAGGCAAUUCCUUUUUGUCCUCUAGGAGGCCAUAAUCUAUUAAAGGCAAGAUAGAGAGAGACAUCACUGAAAGAAGAGGGAGAGGUGUGCCAGUAGAGGAAAAAUGACAGAAACAAAAUCUGCCCUGCCUCACUUCUCAGAGUGAACACGAAGAGAAGCAGGGGCUGUGUCUCCCCUCAGACCAGGGGUCCUUGAGGCAGGGCUGUGUCUCCCCUCAGACUGGGGCUCCCUGAGGCUCCUCUGGGCUCUCAGAGAGUUUUGUCAAUAUUUUCAGUCUCUGGACCCUAGGACUCAGUUCGUUCUCCAGGAGAGCCAGCCAACAAAAUGUACACUGGGCGCUAGCUGAACAGUAGGCUGAGUCACUUUAUUAUCAAACACUUAACAUCCGAGAAAGCAUGGGGAGCUAACCCCAGAGUUUUUUGGGGGGUGAGUCCCUUACCUGAUGUGUCAGAGUGCUCCCAGAAUUACAGCACAAGCAGGUGAGAGCUCAGGGCGCUGCCUGCUCCUGAGCAGAGUCUUUCACACUGGCCCAGGGGGGAAUGUAAACAUCUCUUCCUCUCCUACCAUCACUUGGUCUCAGGAUUCAGGAGGUUGCCGCUCUGGGGCAGGGACUUGCAUCUUCCGAUGUGGAUGCAAGAAGCAGAUCAGUGCUUGGUUGAGGCAGUGAGUUUUGUGUUUCUCCUGGGGCUUAGUGUUCAGCAAGCAAGUGCUGCCCUUGAGACCCCAACUCAACCAGCCUCACGUAGGGUGAAAAAAAAAAUCAUUAUUCUUAUCAUCAGGAGAUCAGGGUGAACUUGGAGCGGAAAGGGAGUCGCCCUGCCACAAAGCAACCAUAGCCUGCCACAUCACUCCUCCUGGGCUACCCCAAAAGUACAUGGGAAGGGAAUUUGAGAGCAAGGCAUCUCUGAAUCCUCUUCCAGACCUCAUCUUUCCUGAUCCUAUUCUUGCCCCAACAGUUAAAAAGAUCAAAUAAAUCAAAUGUUAAAUUAUUAAUGGCUGAUUGGGUUAACUGAGAAUUCCGCACUGCCUUAACCAGGGAACUGAAUCCUAAUGAAAUUUUAAGCACUAUCCUCUGACUUGUGGGAGUGGUAUUUGGAGAGAUGGCAAGGCCAAGGAGCGUCUAAUUGUUUCUCCUAAUUCACAUCACAUAAGUGCCUCCUACCUUUUGACAUAAAGCAGAGCCAGAAAGGAUGAAUGGCUCUGGCUUAAGUUCCCAUAUGGAUGGAGGCUCCCUAGACCAGUGAAGGAGGAUUCAGUUUACUGCUGAAGGAGGGAAAUAGGGCAACUUCCUGCUGUAGUUGGGAGGAGAAGGGGGGAAGUCAAGUUGGAGAGUUGGGAGGGCAAUCAAGUCAACCAGCUCUUCCUUAACACCCAGCGUUGCACUCUACGUCUAUGGGCUGACAGUACAGAGUCUCCUGGUUGUCCUCUAAUAUACAUUCUCUUCUCAGUCCUAGUAAGAAUCCUCAAGUGUUACUUGGACAAAAGGCAAUGCAGAAUAAAGACUACAUUUCCCAGCCUCCUUUGCACCUAGGUGGGGUCAUAUGACUAAGUUUUAGCCAAUGAGACGUAAGUAAUACCUUAGAGGAGUCCUUUAAGAAAGGAUGCAUCCUUCUUUGCCUCUCCCUCUUUCCUAGUGACUAGAAUGUGGAUUCAUGGACAGAACUUGAACAGCCAUCUUCAUCCAUGAAUGGUUNGGUGCAAAAUGACAAAAUAGAAGCAACCUGGGCACCUGGUGAUCAUGGCACCACCGCAUAUCACUGAACUUCCUAAAGUUUUUGUUUUAAUUAUAACUUAAAAAAAAUAGUUUAAGAUUCAUUAGUAGUUCAAAAAUAGUGAGAGUUCCCAUAGACUCUUCAAUCCACUUUCCCCUGUGAUAACAUCUCAUAUAGCCAUAGUACAUUAUGAAAGCAAGAAGCUGACAUUGUUAUAAAGCUAUUCACUUAAAUAUAGACCUUGUUCCCUGAACUUUCUACAUGAGAGAGAAAUAAAAGUCUUUCUCAUUCAGGCUACUCAUUUUUGUUUUGUUUUGUUUUUUUAUCACUCACAAUUAAAUCAAUUUUUUUACUGACAUAAUUUCUGAAAAGUAUAAGGUAGCAUCCACAUCCAGGCUUCAUCUCUGAGAAAAGGACAUGGUAGGGAGAAGGAGAUGCUCCAGAUGCAGGGGAACAAUCAGACAAGCUUCAGGACAAUGGGGAUAAAUCCUUUUGAACAGUGAGAGGCAUCUUUCACUUUGAUGGUGAAAGGACGGUCCUCUCCUACCUCCUUGUUCCACCACUGACUGCAGCAGGCCUCCUCCCCCCAUGCCUAACUCUGUGCUCACCCUUCUCUUGCUGGACCUACGUCCACACCCACCUCUCACCUAUGCAGAGCUCUGCAUCCCCUGCUAAUUCAUGGAGACCUGAGAUGCUCAUUAGUGUUGCUGGCUCCUGGCCCAUCAAAGUCACAUGUCAGGAGAGGGGAGAAAAGGCAGGUGACAUUUGUUGGUAUUUUCACCUUGGGUGAAAACAAACAAAUUGCACUGGAGUUAAAUGUCAAAGGCUCCUGAGUGUUUGAAAUGGGAGGGAAGGGGGCAGGUCUCCUCUCCUCUUGGGGACAGCCUUCUCCAUGUCCCUGAGUGGAUAUGUGCGGAGAUGCAACAGUGUUGGAAGCCUACCAGGAAGGCCAAGUGGGCUGUGUUGGUCGAUGCCCAGCUUCAUCCCAGACUGGGAUGGCAGACUGAGCAGCCCCCAAGGGAGGACAAGCAUUCACCAUCCCUCCAUUCAUCCAGAGAACAGUGAGCACUUGCUACAUAGAAAAGACUCUACAAUAGGUGCUGAGGGGCAACCAGUCAUGAAACAAAUACCGCUGGUCCCUACUUCCUAGGAACAGGUCUCUCUUAGAGAAGACGGAAGAUAUAUAAACAUAGAGUGUAAGAAGAAAAUUUCUUACAUAUAGUGUUCUUUGGGUUCUCAGAUAAGGAAGAGGGUAGGAAAACCAGGGGUGCAUUUCAGAGACUUUGCCAUGGAGCCUGAAGGAUGGGCAGCAUUUAGAUAUGCACAGGUGUGGGAUGAAGGUUCCACUCAGAUCAAAGACAGCACCAAGGCAACGCCACCCACAUUACUAUUAGCUUUACUAUCAUUGCUCUCCCUGACCUGGAAGGAAGUAUACCUACGGAGCUGGACUCAUGUGAUGCAACCAGUCCAGGAGGGGUUUCUGGAGUCUAUGAACUUACUGGAAUGGGGUGCUCAAAUUUGUGUGAUCAAGCAUUUUUCUAGGAAAGACGUCCACAGUCUCCAUCAGAUUCUGCAAGAUAGAGGUGAUUUCCCCCAAAGUUGAGCCCCUCUUUUGGAAGCUGGCAAGAAGUAAGGCCUUGCUGAAUCUCUAAUCAUUACUUGUCUAAAUGAAUCCACUCUAUGAAGAGAGGUUGAAGAUUUAUAGAUGUGGCUCUUCCUAGACAAGCUCUAAUUCCUGAGACCUGCAUGACAGGCCUUAUCUGGGAAGAAUAAUCAGCCCCAGCUUGAGGGGGUGGGGCAGGCUGUAGGGAACUGGGUUGGGGGUGGGGUUAGGGCAAGCUCUUCCCCAGGGUAGCAGCUUAUGUCUCUGCUUACGUCCAGCCCUGUGGUGAUUGAAUUACCAGCCCCUUCACUUAAUGAGCAUCUCUCUGAACUGACCACGAGACCUGUGUUUGGGAGAGCAGACAUCUCAUUACCAGCAUUUAGUGAUGCUGUGUUGAUCCUGGUUUCCUGAUGAUUACAAGGAGCCAGAGUGUGCAGUAGCAUCCUUUUGUGCAGCUCACCUGUCCAAAACAUACGGGCCCUCUUCCACUCCCAGUCUCAUGUGCAGUGCUGUGUGACCAAGGGAGGCAAGAAACCCCUUCUAGAAGAUUCCAAAGUCUAAGAGGAAGGACUUGUGGGGAUGUGCCCUUGGGCCUGGACUCCUCUGGUUGCUGAGAAAUGAUAAGGAGACACAUUACUACUCCCUUCCAGACGGGGAUGAGCAAGAAAUCCACAGCCUGCUGGUGGACAAUCUUCCAGGAACCAUCACUCCUUGUCACUUUCUAAUGCAAUGAAAAGGAUAUUAUGGAUACCCCAGUUCCCUAUAGGGAUCGCCAGUAUCUUCCCUUCUACACAAGGAGAAACAGAGGCACAGGAAAGAGGUCAGGGGCAUUGGUAGAAGCCCCUGGGAGGACUUCUAAAGUGUCCAGUCUUACCUUCCCAGUGAAAGUCUUCUGGGGACAAAGGAUGAUGCACAGACCAGAUUUGCUGUGUAAUGUGACAAUGCAUGUGGGGGUUUUUCUAGGUCAGCCAUUUAACAUCCCUGGUUAUCAGUCAGCAUCAAGGCCAGAGUUAUGGUUGGUCAAUGGCAUAUGUCCAAGGCCACCCAAUCCUGGGUCCACCAUGCCUUCGACCUGCUCCCAUGAUACUGUUACCAUCCCAAGCUGACAAUGAUCCACAAUUAACCACAUGAGCUGUCCAAGACAUGACAGCCAGUAGUGUCACCAAGAUCAUAAUUUCCCAGUCCAAAUUCGUGAGUUCUGAGCCCAGGGGGAUUCUUGCCCCAGGGCAUCCUGAUGUGGGGGAGAGAGAGGUGCAUUUGGGUCUGUGGUGUUUGAGCACAACCCCCCCCCCAAUGCAACCCCCC